AAUCCUGUCACUUGGAGUUUUUAUAUAUUUUUGAACGAAAGUUAGCAUACCUUUUAUCCUCAUAGGUCUUCUCAGAUCACUCAUUAUCUUUUAUAUAUCUCACUGAGGCUGUUUUAAUUUGCAAAAAUUCUCAAGCAUACUUAUUUUGCAUUUAUUGCCUGAUCAAAAUGGGAUCCGAGGAGGGGAAUGUCAUACUCUUAGAUCAAAGACUUUGGAAAUUAAAAUCUUUGUCAACUCUUGCUGGCAUAUUGCUUAUUAGAGGGACCAUGGGCUAUCAUUUUCUUUUUCUUCUCUUCUUUUUUUAAGUGGAUACCGAGGUAUCCCUCAUUCUACUGCCAGACACUUGUCCAUUUUUUCUGCGAGGUUAUCGAGCACUUGCUCCUUUUUAUUUCCUCGAAAUAUCUUUAUUUUUGCAUAGCCCAUGCCUCUAAUGCAAUAAUACUUUGGAAGAGUGAAUCUUUCUGAAUAAAUGUCUUGAUCUUAGGGGCAUGAUAAAUCUCUCAACAAGGGUCUAACUCAUUUUGAACAAACUCAAUACAGAGUAGAUAGCUUUUAUAACCAUAAUUAAUAUUUUCAGUUUUUAUCAGGCAUAUAAAACACUGAGGAUGGUAGCU
rnacentral:lncRNA from 1 species